rnacentral:rRNA from 1 species
GACGAACGCUGGCGGCAUGCCUAACACAUGCAAGUCGAACGGAGUUCUCUUAUUGGAUCCCUUCGGGGUGAAGAUACUAGAACUUAGUGGCGGACGGGUGAGUAACGCGUGGGUAACCUGCCCUUUUGUGGGGAACAAACUUCGAGAAAUUGAAGCUAAUACCGCAUACUCUUCUUUUAUCGCAUGAUGAGAGAAGGAAAGAUGGCCUCUGAAAAUGCUAUCGCAAAAGGAUGGACCCGCGUCUGAUUAGCUAGUUGGAAGGGUAACGGCCUACCAAGGCGACGAUCAGUAGCCGGCCUGAGAGGGUGAACGGCCACGAUUGGGACUGAGACACGGCCCAAACUCCUACGGGAGGCAGCAUGGGGAAUCUUCCGCAAUGGGCGAAAGCCUGAC